CCUACGGGCGGCUGCAGUGAGGAAUAUUGGUCAAUGGGCGAGAGCCUGUACCAGCAAAGUCGCGUGAGGGAGUACUGCCCUAUGGGUUGUAAACCUCUUUUGUCGGGGAGCAAAAGCCGGACGUGUCCGGCUGUGAGAGUACCCGAAGAAAAAGCAUCGGCUAACUCCGUGCCAGCAGCCGCGGUAAUACGGAGGAUGCGAGCGUUAUCCGGGUUGAUUGGGGUUAAAGGGUGCGCAGGCGGAUUUUUAAGUCAGCGGUCACAUCGUGGGGCUCAACCCCAUCCAGCCGUUGAAACUGGGGAUCUAGAGUGUGCGAGAGGUAUGCGGAAUGCGUGGUGUAGCGGUGAAAUGCAUAGAUAUCACGCAGAACCCCGAUGGCGAAGGCAGCAUGCCGGUGCACAACUGACGCUCAGGCACGAAAGCGUGGGUAUCGAACAGGAUUAGAUACCCGUGUAGUC
rnacentral:rRNA from 1 species